rnacentral:rRNA from 1 species
UACGUAGGGCGCAAGCGUUGUCCGGAAUUAUUGGGCGUAAAGAGCUCGUAGGCGGCUUGUCACGUCGAUUGUGAAAGCCCGAGGCUUAACCUCGGGUCUGCAUCGAUACGGGCUAGCUAGAGUGUGGUAGGGGGAGAUCGGAAUUCCUGGUGUAGCGGUGAAAUGCGCAGAUAUCAGGAGGAACACCGGUGGCGAAGGCGGGUCUCUGGGCCGAUACUGACGCUGAGGAGCGAAAGCGUGGGGAGCGAACAGG